AUCUCUAUUCAAUCAUGAUCCACGGGCACUGGCCGGAAGCAGCUGGUUUGGGGAGUAGAUGGCAAUUCAUUUCCUGCAUGUCCAAAUAAGCCACGAGGAAAGGUGUCCAGAGGGAGGUAACAUGAUUUGUUCCGUGUAGUUCUCAUCUAUGAAGUUAGGGGCUUGUUAUUCAUAUUAUUGUUAUUUUCACGCAGGCCCUUAGUAGGACUACAGUGGGAUCCUUGCAAGCCUUAAGCAGCUGGGGAGGAGAGAAGAGAGUCCACUCCUGAGGAGCUGACGGAGUGGUCAGGGUCUCUCCCUGAAUCUAGAGUCCACCAAUUCAGCCACACGGGCCACUCAGCAGUCCCCAGGUAUCUUUCUGUCUCCACCUGCUUAGCCGGCAUCAUAGACUCCCUACUGCGCCUGGCUUUUGCACGGAAGGACACUUGUCCAAGGUCACCGGUUGGUUCUGGUGUAGGCCUGCCUCACAGCCCAAACCCUGCAUUUCGUCUUGGGAACCCAUCUGCCAGCAGCUGCAUCUCUCCGGCACUGCUGGGGAUAUAAAGGCCACCCCCAGCUCCCAGCUUGUGAACUCUGGCUCUGCGUGUGCCUAAGAUCCUUGGUGACGGGUGCACUCCUGAGCUUACGUGGCCUGGCAGUUCCAGACAUCCAGGGUAUCUUUCACUUGCUUUUGCUGAAACAUGAGAAUCUGGAAGCCCUCUGAGGAUGUCCCCUGAACCCUCACAUCACCAGGCUCCUGCUGUAAGCUCCGUUCCCAGGAAUCAGCACGCAUCCAGAAGCCUGCCUGCGCUCUGCGUUCCAGGGGAAUUAUGUCAGCUUGUCACUUUAGCAUGACGCUCGUUACCCGUCCAUGUGGCUGUGAGCCGUUCUAUCUUCACGCCACAGUUUCUUGUGUGCAUGUGAUGGUGCGGGACACAUGACCAGUGUUGU
rnacentral:sRNA from 1 species